rnacentral:rRNA from 1 species
CCACCUAGGGAGGCAGCAGUGGGGGAUAUUGCACAAUGGGGGAAACCCUGAUGCAGCGACGCCGCGUGGGCGAAGAAGUAUUUCGGUAUGUAAAGCCCUAUCAGCAGGGAAGAAGAAAUGACGGUACCUGAGUAAGAAGCACCGGCUAAAUACGUGCCAGCAGCCGCGGUAAUACGUAUGGUGCAAGCGUUACCCGGAUUUACUGGGCGUAAAGGGAGCGCAGGCGGCACGGCAAGCCUGAUGUGAAAGCCCGCGGCCCAACCGCGGGACUGCAUUGGGAACUACCGGGCUGGAGUGCC